UGCUUUUCUAAUAUAAGAUGGUUCUUUAUUGUAAAAUGGUAUAUUUAUUUGAUGUAUAUUGUAGAUUGAUGUCUAUUCAUUGUCAAGAAAGUGGAAGGAGUUGGUUGACAAGGCCAGAGCGAAGCAGCUUCAACCUCAUGAAUACAACACUGGUAUAGUAAUUACAUACUUGUAUUUUAUUGGGUUUCUGUUGUAUAUUAAUGAAUGAAUUUUCCAAUUUAAAAUUGAAUCCUUAAAAAUUGUAGGUAGGCACUAGGGAUAUUGAUAGUUGAUUUGAUAUUAAUUAUCUUAA
rnacentral:misc_RNA from 1 species